AUGCAGAAAUCCAAGAUGCAUCGCGUGAUUUGCCUAGACACCAAAAUCAGAAAUGUUCUCCAGGGGAAACAGUUUCGGAAUUUUACAGUUCAGUCGAGGCAGAAGAAUGAGGUUGUUCACCUGAAAUCGGAAAGCAUGAGUAAGUUUGGCGAAUCCACAACACAAGAAAGUGCCACCUGUUCAUGCAACAAACCACAGCUGCUUCACAAGCCCUGCACUCAUGUCAUCGCCGUCUGUUGUCAGAUUGGUGUUAGCACUGCUACAUACAUGUCUCCAUACUACAGCCUGGCCUACCUAGGUAGGAUCUGGAGUGGAAAUUUUGAUGAAUAUAAGAUCUCGCGUGGUUACAGAAAUAUCACGCCAUUUGAAUGCAAUACAACAACUUGGAUCCCAGACAAAAGGUUGGAGUGUGGUCUUCCUGUUUUUGUAACAUCGGACUGCCUAGAAACUGUUGCAGAUGAGUCAGAGCAACAAUGCAACACUGGAAAUGGAUCAACUGAAGACAAUCAAGGAGCGACAACACGCACUGAAGAACCUAAUGAGAUUUAA
rnacentral:rRNA from 1 species